CCGGCGGCCGUGCCCUACGAAGGGCCUGGGCCGGGCGCGCUGGGAAGCGGCGGGGCUGGAGCAGGCGGAGGGUGAGUGACGGCGGGGCGACGCUCAGCGCCGUCUUCAGUGGGAAGCGAAUCAGCCGUAGGUGGGAAAUUAGGGUCACAUCUCCGAUCUCCCGAGGCAGUAAAUCUGUGAGCAACUUUUUGAAGCCUGAACAUAACUCAAUCAUGUGAAAAUCAGUUUCAUCUGAGGAAGCUCUCUGGUAUCCCAGAUAUCUAUACAGACACUGUGCUUAGCCACCUGAUCCACAAAACUGAGGACUGCUUAACACCUGUGAAAUUUCACAGCAUGACAGCAGAGCUGAGGCUGGAAGGCACAUCUGGAGCUCCA
ensembl:lncRNA